rnacentral:rRNA from 1 species
CUUUGGAAGCUGUCACCGGAAGAUGAGUCCGCGGCCCAUUAGCUAGUUGGUGAGGUAAUGGCUCACCAAGGUAUAGACGGGUAGCUGGUCUGAGAGGAUGAUCAGCCACAUUGGGAUUGUGAUACGGCCCAGACUCCUACGGGAGGCAGCAGUGGGGAAUAUUGGGCAAUGGGCGAAAGCCUGACCCAGCCACGCCGCGUGAGUGAUGAAGGCCUUCGGGUCGUAAAGCUCUGUGGGGAGGGACGAACAAGCGCGUAUUUAAUACAUGCGUGCUUUGACGGUACCUCCUUAGCAAGCACCGGUUAACCAUGUGCCAGUAGUUGUGGUAAUACAUGGGGUGCAAACGUUGCUCGGAAUUAUUGGGCGUAAAGCGCGCGUAGGCGGUUAUCUAAGUCGGAUGUGAAAGCCCUUGGUUUAACCAAGGAAGUGCAUCCGAGACUGAAUAGCUAGAGUACGAAAGAGGGUCGCGGAAUUCCCGGUGUAGAGUGAAAUUUGUAGAUAUCGGGAGGAACACCGGUGGUGAAGGUGGCGACCUGGUUCGAGACUGACGCUGAGGCGCGAAAGCGUGGGGAGUAAACAGGAUUAGAUAUCCUGGUAGUCCACGCCGUAAACGAUGGAUGCUAGAUGUUUCUGGUAUUGAUCCCGGAGGCGUCGUAGCUAAUGUGUCAAGCAUCCCGCCUGGGGAGUACGGCCGCAAGGCUAAAACUCAAAGGAAUUGACGGGGGCCCGCACAAGCGGUGGAGCAUGUGGUUCAAUUCGACCAUGCGAAGAACUUUACCUGGGUUGGAACUCUCCAGAAGUCCGCAGAGAUGUGGAUGUGCCCGUAAGGGAACUGGAUGUCCAGGUGCUGCAUGGCUGUCGUCAGCUCGUGUUGUGAGAUGUUGGGUUAAGUCCCGCAACGAGCGCAACCCUUGUCGUUAGUUGCUAACAGUUCGGCUGAGCACUCUAGCGAGACUGCCGGUGUUAAACCGGAGGAAGGUGGGGAUGACGUCAAGUUUUCAUGGCCCUUAUGCCCAGGGCUACACACGUGCUACAAUGGUCGGUACAAAUCGUCGCUAACCCGCGAGGGGGAGUCAAUCGCAAAAAACCGGCCUCAGUUCAGAUUGCAGUCUGUAAUUUGACUGCAUGAAGUUGGAAUCGCUAGUAAUCCCUGAUUAGUAGGCAGGGGUGAAUACGUUCCCGGGCCUUGUAUAUAUCGCCCGUCACACCAUGGGAGUCAGUUGCUCCAGAAGUGGCUGUGCCAACC